UACGAAGGGUGCAAGCGUUAAUCGGAAUUACUGGGCGUAAAGGGUGCGUAGGCGGUUCGUUAAGUCUGUCGUGAAAUCCCCGGGCUCAACCUGGGAAUGGCGAUGGAUACUGGCGAGCUAGAGUGUGUCAGAGGAUGGUGGAAUUCCCGGUGUAGCGGUGAAAUGCGUAGAGAUCGGGAGGAACAUCAGUGGCGAAGGCGGCCAUCUGGGACAACACUGACGCUCAUGCACGAAAGCGUGGGGAGCAAACAGG
rnacentral:rRNA from 1 species